rnacentral:tRNA from 1 species
GCCCUAGUGGUGCAAUGGUUAAGCACUCAGCUGUUAACCGAAAAGUUGAUGGUUCAAACCCAACCAGAGGCU